CCGAAAAUCAAAGCGCCGACAAAAGAGA
rnacentral:sRNA from 1 species